rnacentral:misc_RNA from 1 species
AGUGGUUACCGGGAGGGUGUUACAUUAACCUUUUUACGCAGAUAACUUGUACCAUUUUUUAUCCAAAAAUGAAAAAUAUAGAGAAAAUGAGGGGAGGAGGGUAUGGGUGUAAGGGGAAGAAACAUGGGGAGAGAGAAAUAAAGGAGGGUUAGCAAGAAAUAAGGGGGAUAAGGUCAGGGUAGUUUAGGAAUAAAAAAACAACUAGGGGGACUAAAGAGUUAGCAAAACCAAAUUAUCAGACUAACUAAUGUGCUUUUCAAAAUACAGGGACCAACUAAUUAGUAUCACUACAAUAGAAAGACUAAAUAGUAGUUUGACUAGCAUUAAAAUCUGUUGACUAAUGGAAAAAAUAAUGGAGGGACUAAACAAUUUAACCAAAGCAAAAUAUAGGGACUAAAUAGUGUAUUUUUCAAAAUUCAAAAACUAAGUAUAUAAUUUUAUUUAAAUGCAUGGAUUAAAUAGUAAUU